UUUUGUAUUUUAUGUAACGUCUGUAUAAUACAUGUAGUGUGAAUAAAUCGUUACUGUUAUUUUCUACAAAGAUGCUUGUUAACUUAUAAAUAAUGAACGCUCGGAAUUCAACAUUUAUAACAACAAAAGAGAGCCAUGUUUUAUCUAGCAUUGGUGAUAUGAGAAAUAAUACUAAAUUGAUAUAGCAAAGGUUUCCUGGUGCAAAGGUUAAUGGUGAAUGAAAAUACAAUUUUUCUUAAAUAUGUUUAUUGGUUUUGAAACUUUUUUUAUUAAUAAAUAACAUCAUAAUAAUGGACAAAGCACUUCAUUAUUUCAAUAGUAUUUUUCAAACUACAUGGUAUAUAAAACGAAUUUUGUAGAUACAAAAAAAAACUAGGUUCACCAUUGACAAAAUUUGUAUGAAAAAGUUAAAUUGAUGUAAAAAAACAUGGAACAGAAAGUCAAUCUAUGUAUUAAAUACUUGUCUUCAACGUGUACAGACAAAGACAAAACAACUACUUAGUUAAAAGUUUGAAUGCUAAGUUGUUUUGUUACUUAUAGUAUGCAUGUUACAUGCUUUAACAAAAGAAAUUUUCCUAGAGCACAAAUGUCUGUACAAGAUUCCCCUAAAAUCGACAUGAUAAUUGUCAGAUCAAACAUGUGAGAUUAAGGGAGAUAAUUUCUAUUUACAAAUCAGUGAAGUAUUGAAUUGUGUCCCUUUUUGUUGUAAUAAGAAUCCAAGACAAUUUGAAAUAUCAUCAAUUUGGGCUUNNNNNNNNNNNNNNNNNNNNNNNNNUUCAA
rnacentral:lncRNA from 1 species